CGAGCGGUACAGGAGAAGCUUGCUUCUCGCUGACGAGCGGCGGACGGGUGAGUAAUACUUAGGAAUCUACCUAGUAGUGGGGGAUAGCUCGGGGAAACUCGAAUUAAUACCGCAUACGACCUACGGGAGAAAGGGGGCAACUUGUUGCUCUCGCUAUUAGAUGAGCCUAAGUCGGAUUAGCUAGAUGGUGGGGUAAAGGCCUACCAUGGCGACGAUCUGUAGCUGGUCUGAGAGGAUGAUCAGCCACACCGGGACUGAGACACGGCCCGGACUCCUACGGGAGGCAGCAGUGGGGAAUAUUGGACAAUGGGGGCAACCCUGAUCCAGCCAUGCCGCGUGUGUGAAGAAGGCCUUUUGGUUGUAAAGCACUUUAAGCAGUGAAGAAGACUCCAUGGUUAAUACCCAUGGACGAUGACAUUAGCUGCAGAAUAAGCACCGGCUAACUCUGUGCCAGCAGCCGCGGUAAUACAGAGGGUGCAAGCGUUAAUCGGAAUUACUGGGCGUAAAGCGAGCGUAGGUGGCUUGAUAAGUCAGAUGUGAAAGCCCCGGGCUUAACCUGGGAACGGCAUCUGAUACUGUUAGGCUAGAGUAGGUGAGAGGAAGGUAGAAUUCCAGGUGUAGCGGUGAAAUGCGUAGAGAUCUGGAGGAAUACCGAUGGCGAANGCAGCCUUCUGGCAUCAUACUGACACUGAGGUUCGAAAGCGUGGGUAGCAAACAGGAUUANAUACCCUGGUAGUCCNCGCCGUAACGAUGUCUACUANUCGUUGGGUCCCUUGAGACUUANUGACGCA
rnacentral:rRNA from 1 species